UAAUUUGAGAGUUUGAUCCUGGCUCAGGACGAACGCUGGCGGCGUGCCUAAUACAUGCAAGUCGAACGAACUCUGGUAUUGAUUGGUGCUUGCAUCAUGAUUUACAUUUGAGUGAGUGGCGAACUGGUGAGUAACACGUGGGAAACCUGCCCAGAAGCGGGGGAUAACACCUGGAAACAGAUGCUAAUACCGCAUAACAACUUGGACCGCAUGGUCCGAGUUUGAAAGAUGGCUUCGGCUAUCACUUUUGGAUGGUCCCGCGGCGUAUUAGCUAGAUGGUGGGGUAACGGCUCACCAUGGCAAUGAUACGUAGCCGACCUGAGAGGGUAAUCGGCCACAUUGGGACUGAGACACGGCCCAAACUCCUACGGGAGGCAGCAGUAGGGAAUCUUCCACAAUGGACGAAAGUCUGAUGGAGCAACGCCGCGUGAGUGAAGAAGGGUUUCGGCUCGUAAAACUCUGUUGUUAAAGAAGAACAUAUCUGAGAGUAACUGUUCAGGUAUUGACGGUAUUUAACCAGAAAGCCACGGCUAACUACGUGCCAGCAGCCGCGGUAAUACGUAGGUGGCAAGCGUUGUCCGGAUUUAUUGGGCGUAAAGCGAGCGCAGGCGGUUUUUUAAGUCUGAUGUGAAAGCCUUCGGCUCAACCGAAGAAGUGCAUCGGAAACUGGGAAACUUGAGUGCAGAAGAGGACAGUGGAACUCCAUGUGUAGCGGUGAAAUGCGUAGAUAUAUGGAAGAACACCAGUGGCGAAGGCGGCUGUCUGGUCUGUAACUGACGCUGAGGCUCGAAAGUAUGGGUAGCAAACAGGAUUAGAUACCCUGGUAGUCCAUACCGUAAACGAUGAAUGCUAAGUGUUGGAGGGUUUCCGCCCUUCAGUGCUGCAGCUAACGCAUUAAGCAUUCCGCCUGGGGAGUACGGCCGCAAGGCUGAAACUCAAAGGAAUUGACGGGGGCCCGCACAAGCGGUGGAGCAUGUGGUUUAAUUCGAAGCUACGCGAAGAACCUUACCAGGUCUUGACAUACUAUGCAAAUCUAAGAGAUUAGACGUUCCCUUCGGGGACAUGGAUACAGGUGGUGCAUGGUUGUCGUCAGCUCGUGUCGUGAGAUGUUGGGUUAAGUCCCGCAACGAGCGCAACCCUUAUUAUCAGUUGCCAGCAUUAAGUUGGGCACUCUGGUGAGACUGCCGGUGACAAACCGGAGGAAGGUGGGGAUGACGUCAAAUCAUCAUGCCCCUUAUGACCUGGGCUACACACGUGCUACAAUGGAUGGUACAACGAGUUGCGAACUCGCGAGAGUAAGCUAAUCUCUUAAAGCCAUUCUCAGUUCGGAUUGUAGGCUGCAACUCGCCUACAUGAAGUCGGAAUCGCUAGUAAUCGCGGAUCAGCAUGCCGCGGUGAAUACGUUCCCGGGCCUUGUACACACCGCCCGUCACACCAUGAGAGUUUGUAACACCCAAAGUCGGUGGGGUAACCUUUUAGGAACCAGCCGCCUAAGGUGGGACAGAUGAUUAGGGUGAAGUCGUAACAAGGUAGCCGUAGGAGAACCUGCGGCUGGAUCACCUCCUUU
rfam:Lactobacillus plantarum WCFS1 complete genome